rnacentral:lncRNA from 10 species
GUGAGCAAACAUUUGCAAGCGCGACUCGCCAUCCUCCUCCCGUGGCCGGGUAUAGUCAUGUGCCUUGACGUAAAUAACUCAAUCCCCAGCACCUGAAGAGCAUUUUCUUCUCUUUAAAGAUUUCAGUGUCUUCCAUAUUUCUAAAACAAAAACAAAAACAACCUCCAUCUAAAAAGUUUGCUAUGAAGCUGAGGGCAGCGGCGCAUACCUGUAGUCCCAGCUACUCAGGAGCCUGGGGCGGGAGGGUCUCUGGAGUCCAGGAUUUGGAGGCUGUAGCGCGCUGUGAUCACACCUGGGAACAGCCACUGCACUCCAGCCUGGACAACAGUAAGCCUCUGUUUCUAGAAAGAGAAAAAUGUUGUUGUUAGUGUCUUUUUUCUUUUUUUUUUUUGAGAUGGAGUCUUGCGUCCCUGUGUCACCCAGGCCGGAGUGCGAUGGUGCGAUCUUGGCUCACUGCAACCUCUGCCUCCUGGGUUCAAGCAAUUCUCCUGCCCCAGCCUUCUGAGUAGCUGGGAUUACAGUCACCCACCAUCACGCCUAGCAAAUUUUUGUAUUUUUGUAGAGAUGGGGUUUCACCAUGUUGGCCAGGAUGGUCUCGAACUCCUGACCUCAGGUGAUCUGCCCACCUUGGUUUCCCAAAGUGCUGGAAUUACAGGUGUGAGCCACUGUGGCUGGCCUGUUGUUAGUCUCUUUUGAGAGCUACCUCGGACCAGGGUGACAAGAAUGGCUCUGGACUGGAUAAUUUCUCUCUGGAGGUGUUUGGUGUUUAUUCCCUUUGACUGUGGCAGCGGACUUUAAUUAUGCCAGCAUUAACCCUCGUGUCAAGAAGGGAAGAAUGAAGAAGCACUCAGGCACCAUCCUCCCCAACCUUUCAAAAGGCAGUUAAUCUCUGCGUGAGCCGACACUUCCAAACAAGCCUGAAAUUAGUGGACAUCAAUUGUGCCGAAAACAAGGGGAGAUUGUUUGCGACUCGGGCCUGUUUGCUUUAAAAUUCACUUUGGUUCCCUGUCAAACACGCUGCGCGGGGUGUGAGCCAGGCCUGAGUCUUUGAAGGACUGGCUGUCGUGCCGGGUUCCAAACCAUUGACUUUGUCAGCUAGUGACUUGCAGAGGACCUGAACGCACGGGGCCCCUGGUGUCUUUCUUACCCUCUCUGAGACAUAACAGGAUGCCAAAAUCGCCAGGUUCAAAAUGGUGCUUCCAAUUAUUUUCUCUUCUAUAGUCUUCGAUGUGCUAUUGAAGUCUAUCUGCUCAUCGAUCCCCUCUCUCCACUUUCAACAUUUCCUAAUUGCCUCAUCAAAACUCCUCGACGAUUCAUUUUAUGAUUUAUUUAGUCACCAGGCUCUGCUUGUGUAGGUCUGAUGCAUGAGGGAUACCUGCGCGCCUGGGCACUGCGGAGGGGAGAGGGAGGAAGGAAUAAGAGAGAUAAAUGCAGCCUGAACUGAGUCCAGAGACCAGUGAGGAAGGAGCAACACCCACGUGUAAAACUCAGAGUUGUAAAAGCUAUGGAUUGUGUAUUUAUUCCAGAUUUUGCAAAUAACCUCCCCCAACUUGCCACCUGCCUGGCGGAUUUGUCCACAGUGACCUUGGCUGAACCACCUCAUCCUUCACUGUCCAGCAAACGGACUCAGAGCACAGCACAGGGCUCCGGGGCGCUCGGACGUGAUGGGAUGGGUCCCUCACCUAGCAGGUUCUAAAAGCCUGGGUGAAUGGAUCAAACAGGCCUUGGCUGAGCCCACCCACUGCAGCCGAUCCCCAUGGGGGACCCGCUCUGCCGCUGGAGCCCCGAUGGCGCUGAAAGCCUGAAACGCUGGUGUUGCCCUGACUGGCUCUCCCGUCCAGCUCCUGGCCGGCCUCUGACGCUGACCUGAGUCUGGGAGCACAGUGUUCCCACCCAGGCAUCCCGACAGCAUGUCCAGCUUGAGUUCGCCCUGCCCAGGUGUCCUGUCUACCUCUGCUGCAUUCCCUCCAUCUCUGCCCAGUGGUAACAGCGCCACGCCUUGCCAUGCCUGGGCAGUGCCUGAGGGCAAAGGAAAAAUAUGAUCUCUGCCUGAAAAUCCCAACAGAUCCUCCAACAGACCCACAUGGACAGCACAGAGGCACAGGGGCAGCUGCAGAUAACCACUGUACAGACUCUCCAGAAGCAAAGGGAGGUCCUUUGGUGGGAGGCACAGGUGCAAGUGAGAGAAAGGAGGCCACGCCAGCACCACCUGCAAUGCGGAAAGACAGAGGCUGGCAGUGGGUGCGAGAGAAGGACUGUGGGGGCCGGGUUGGGGUCCCAGCCAGCGUGAGGGUGACGUGGCCCUCGCCCCCCUCCAUCUGCACACAGGUGAUCUGCAUGGAGAGGCGCUGAAGCUGAAUGAGACAAUUCGGUUCUUCAUCCUCCUUAGGCCUGUGAGAGACUGGAUCUGGGGAGUGAGGAUGGUGAGUCUUGGCUGAGCCGGUGCUGACGCCUCGCCUGUCAGUCAAAGGAGGUUGCGCAGCCCCCAGCUCUGCUGAGGGAGGAGGAGCCAUUGCCCAUGGAGGCGACUGGCCUCGUUCCACGCCCCUCGUGUGAGCUCCAGGAAUCAGGUGCGUCAUACUUGCUUGUGGGUGAGGGUUGCAGGGCAGGACCCUCACACCCUGCAAUUGAGGCAACAGCUCUCGUACACGGGCUCCGUGGGAUGACUGGAAAGAGGCCCACAGGCAGAGGCACAAGGAACUGUGCAGGGCCCCGAGGUGGCUUCCACCAACACCUGCCAAGGCAGGGCUGGCACCACUUGGGUGCUGCAUUGCACAGGGCAUCCUAGGCUCUGGGCAUAGGGGCUGCAGCAGGGACAGAGCAGCCAAGACCCUUACCAGGGGAGCUUCAUCCCAAUGGAGAAAGGAUGUAAGAUGCGCAUCCCUGCAGCAUGUGUCCAGUGGCGACCCCUGCAUUGUGGAAAAGAAUAGAGCCCAGGACAAGCCGAGUGAGGAUGCAGGCAGCCUCCAGCAUGAGCAGAGGCCUGGCAGGUGCGGGAGGAAGCUGUGUCAGAGGAAGACCGAGGCAGAAGGGCACAGAACCCAGAGAGGCCAUGGAUUUUAUUCUGGGACCUAUGAGGCACCCUCGGGGGUGGGGGACAGGGAGCUGGGACCUCACUUGUGUUUUAGAACAAUCCCUCUCCCCUGUUGGGGAGGGAGGACUCCUCGAGGCAGGCAGGCUGGGGUGGGUGCACCUGGCCUGUCCAGGAGAGGGACAUCGGGGGCUGCAAUGAGGGGUAGAGGCUGAACUUGACAGGAAUUACUGGAGGAGUGCGGGUGAGGUGGGAAAGAGAGAAAGUGGAGCAAAAAUUCGGAGACUGAGCCUGGACAGGGGGCAGGGCUUGGAGGAUGGAGGUGGCUUUAACCCACGGGGUUUAGGGCAGAAUUCAGACCGGAUAAACAGUGUUCCAGAGAGUCAAGCUGCAUUUCUUUGUCUAAAAAAUCAAGAUUUGUUUGUUGAAGGAUGCACGUGUGUCUACACAGUUAAGAUACUUCAAGGCUGUUACGCUCAGGAUCAUUAGAAGCAGAAAGGGCAUGUGUAAUAACAUUCUGAAUUGAGAAAAAAAAACAGCUGGUGAGGUAUCCAAGCAAUGACAGUCACUCCAGGAAAUGUUCUUGUUGGAUCUAAUUCUUGCACCUAGGAGUUCUCAGUGACCUGGUUUCUUGGGAAGAUGGAUGAAUUUUCUUAUCUUAAACCCUGGGCCAGCCCAGACAGACGUUCCCUAACAUGCCCAGCACUAAACAGGGCCUCGCCACCCUGACUCCAUGGAAAGGCUGCUUGAGAAAGAAGGCUCAGUGGCUGUUUCCAGGCUGAACAGGAGCCCAGUGUCUCCAGGAGGGUCCCAAGGGCUCCCUCGUUCUGUAGGGGAUUCCCCUCUUCAGGGCCCAGGGCUGCCAUCCUGGAACCUCUGCAGCUGCCUGACCCGUCCCAGAGGCAUGUGAGGGAGAAAGGGUGGGAGGCAGGCCCAGGGCAAAGCUACACAGGCCACCUGCGGAGGGGAGAGGCCUGAUCUACUGGGACCCCUGUAGCGCCAAGUUUGGAACUUGCCCCUUUAAGAAGAAAAUGACUGUCACAGAAGACUUCAGGAGGAUCCUGAAAAUCUUCCAGGGGCUCGAGCUCUCCCAGCCCAGCAGGAUCCCUCAUGGGACCCAUCAGCUCUAGCACCUCCUGCCCCAGCCCACCAUCCUCCCACCAGGGACUGCAGCUGGCUCAAGGGCUUGGCCCUUUGGCCAUGGACAAACCUGGCCAAAUACCGUGGGUCUGCCGGGUUGCCUCCCAAGUCAUGCCAAGCCCCAGGGUGAGGUGUGUUGACCUACUGAUGUAGUUCAGCUCUCAGGCUUUAACCCCUUGGCAUUUGGCAAACAAAGAGCCGGACAGAAAGCCUGGGCUUCCUCCAGAGGUCCAUGGUAAGAGGAACACAGUUUGGUUCUGAGAAUGUAGCCCCAGGGAGCUGGCCUGAAGAGCCCGGCCAUGCAGGCCCUGGCAGAGUUAAUGAGCAUCCGCCACGGCUCCCUGCCUGUGCUGAAGGCUCCUCACUUCUCAGCAGUAGCAGCAGAUGCCUGGGAAGGAAUGUCAGGGUCCAGAGAGCUUGAUGGCCUAGACUCAGGCUUACAGCGACUCAGGGCUCAGAGCUCGGCGCCUUCCAAGGUCCCUGUCCUGCACUCAGGACAUUAAACAGAGGCCGCUCCUCUCUGGAAAUCAGGGAAGAAGAGUGUCUGGGUAGGCUGACUGCUGGUGCUGGGAGGAAGGAGGGCAAUCAGCAGCCCCUGCUCAGGACGGAAGCUCUACCAACCUGGUUCAUUGCCCGACAGUAGAUGCAAAAGCUCAGAAAGUGCCAGGUGCAGGUGUGUAAAUAUCAGGGACAUUGUUCAGUGCAAUUUAACAAGCCUUAAUUAAGUGUCUCUCUGCAGACAUCCCACUAAUCACCGGGUUAAAAAGAUGACCAAGGCCCUGCCCCACCAUUAAGGCUGCAAGGGCAGAGGAGGACGUGAGCUCAGUGGUCUCCUGAACUUGUGCCUUCAAGGUGAGCAAUGCCUGAUGACAGCUCCCCUCCCCUUCCUUCGACCAUUCCCCUUUCCUGUGGUCCCAACAGUUCCUCCCAGGGUGCUGCACCGAGUCCUGUGCCCAGAAAGCCGAAGACCGGUGGCUUCGUGCAAAGGUUAAACUGUGAGACCACCAUGUCCUGCUGUCAGGACCCCCACCCCUUGGGAGUUUACU